GAUGAACGCUAGCUACAGGCUUAACACAUGCAAGUCGAGGGACCGGCGCACGUGUGAGUAACACGUAUACAACCUGCCCUUUACUCGGGGAUAGCCUUACGAAAGAAAGAUUAAUACCCGAUAUAAAGGAUGGGGAUGCGUUCCAUUAGGUUGUUGGUGAGGUAACGGCGCACCAAGCCUUCGUUGGAUAGGUGUUCUGAGAGGAAGGUCCCCCACAUUGGAACGGCGACACGGUCCAAACGCCUACGCGAGGCAGCAGUGAGGAAUAUUGGUCAAUGGGGGCUAGCCGGAACCAGCCAAGUAGCGUGAAGGAGGAAGGCUUAUGGGUCUUAAACUACUUUUAUAUAAGAAGAUGUAUUAGAUGAAUAAGGAUCGGCUAACUCCGUGCCAGCAGCCGCGGUAAUUC
rnacentral:rRNA from 1 species